CUGAUGGUGGGGUUGGGGAGGAAGGCUUGCCUGGCUAAGUGAGACUACCGCUGAGCCUCAAAGGCCAGGAAGCAACAGAUGUUACAAAAUGAGAGUGGAGGAAGCAUAUUCCAGGUGGGAGAACAGUUUGGGACAGGGGUUGGCAAACUAUGGCCUGUCUCCUGUUUUUGUAAAUAAAGUUUUUUUUUUUUUUUUUGAGGUGGAGUCUUGCUCGGUCACCAGUCUGGAGUGUAGUGGCGUGAUCUCGGCUCACUGCAACCUCCAUCUCCCAGGUUCAAGCAAUUCUCCUGCCUCAGCCUCCUGAGUAGCUGGGACUACAGGUGCAUGCUGCCACCAUGCCCAGCUCAUUUUUGUAUUUUUAGUAGAGAUGGGGUUUCACCAUUUUGGCCAGGAUGGUCUUGAUCUCCUGACCUUGUGAUCCACAUGCCUCGGCCUCCCAAAGUGCUGGGAUUACAGGUGUGAGCCACCGCGCCCGGACGUAAAGAAAGUUUUAUUGAGACACAGCCAUGCCCAUGAAUGCUUUCAUGCUUCAACAGCAGAAUUAAGUAGUUGCCACAAAGACCUGGCCUGCACAGCCUAAAAUAUGUCUUGGCCAAGAAGUCUGAAUCAACCAUGGUCUCCUCCAAAGACGAGGUGAGAAGUGCAACAGAAGUGGGAUGAGGGGCAAGGCAAAGGCGAGAUGGGUAAGGCACUGAGGGUGGUGGCUGUGGCAAGGAGGCAGACACCCUGGGACUUGGAAGCCAGGAUUAAAGUUCUCGUUUUCUGGGAAGCAAAACAGCUUUGCCCAAUUUGCUGGGGAGGCAGAGGUUCUGGGGAUCUGGAUUUCGUCCUCAAGGCCUAUUGCAGUGCCUGGCACACAUGGGUGCCUAAUAAAAAUGUUGAACGAUUGGAAUGACAAAGGCGGUCGGGACACAGUCUCUGACUUGGAACAGUGUAAUUCCUGUGUCUCAGUUUUUUCAUCUGUCACAUGGGAUUGGUACUUAGUUCACAUGACUGUGAGGAUUAAAUAAGUUUAAUAAGAGGCACUUAGAAUGGUGCCUGGGUCAAAGUGAGAGCUCAGUAAAGAUUAGCCAUUAGUCUUAUUACUACAAUCUAGAUGAGCCCAGACAAGAGUAGCAGAGUCUUGAGGGCUAUGAAAGGUAAGAAAAGAGUGGAAUCAUUUCUAUCAAGAGGAUCCAGAAAGCCUUCAGAGUAGAGGUGAGGUCUGCAGUGUGUUGAGAAGAAUCCUGAUGGCCUUACUAGGAGAACCUAUGCUGUGAUUGACUGGUGAUGUCUGCUGUGGGUGAGGAAUGCACAGUGGUGGUGUGUGUGCCUCUGUAGCCUAUAUUCUGUUUGUUUUAGGAUCCAGACAUGUCACGGCACAUUUGGAAUUUUGGCAACACAGGCUUGAUAGUGAUUUUUUAAAUUCCAAGGCCCAAGGGGUUUUGGGGGAAGUAACUCAUCCUUAGGAAGGCACAUACCCUGACUUAAGAAGACCAUGUUAGUCAUCAGACAGAAAUGCAGUUCUGACUGCGGCCUUAUGCCUGAUCUUCAUCAGGUCAUCCUUUGGCCUAGGUUUCAAAGAUCUAUGUCUGAUUUCAAGAGGAUGGGACAAGUAUAAUUGGACAGGGUUGUCUCAAUAAAAAUCACUGUGUGAGGCAGCACUGCUAGGGCUCCAUGGUAGAAAGUAACAUGGGGUGGGGAGAGAUGAGGGUUUGGGGAGAGGGAUUCUCAUGGUUGCAGAAUCCACUGUGGGCUUGGGUGUGGUGGGGAUGGAGGACAUUGUGGUGGGUCAGGGGUUCUGGCAGAUCAUAAUGUAGAUGCUGUGUGGUCUCAUGGGGACAGGGCCAGGACUCCCAACUCUGGCAGGGGCAGGAAAUGGUUUCUCGGUGCCUUUUUAGAGUGAAGAACACCUGCAAUGCUCCCUGAGGACUCCCAGAAAUAGUUAGGGGGCUGACUGUGAUCCGCUUGGAGGCCACGCCACAGUAGGUGGAGACAAAACCUCCUGCACAGUGACCCAACUUGGAGCCCAAGGCUGGGAGCCCUGAGAAACGCAGGUCAUAAUUAUAACACUGCGUGGGAUGAAUGCGCUGGAUGACAGGGAGGACGUCACUGGCUGCCUGGUGGGGGGGACUGGGGACAGAGGUGCUGGAGGGUUUCACAGAGAUAAGAGUUGAGCCAGGCACAGUUGUGAAUGUGGGUCUUGAAAAUCAGGAGAAAUGCAUGAGCAAAAGAACAGAGGCAUGAAAAGGAAGGCUGGGUCAGGGAAGGGUGUGGAUUUGGGGUGGAUGGAGGUCAGGAGACAGUGGCAGGAGACGAAGCCAGAAGGGGUGGGGAGUGUGGAGACAGAUCUGGAAGGGAUGUGGAUGUUAGGAGCAGACACAAAGUCCUGGCUCUGGAAGAAAAGGUUAAACGAUAGGAUGGAUGGAAGGAAGGAAUUAGGAUUUAGGAGAGAAGAGACGCUCCUUUUUCUUUCACUGAGAACAAUAUGGGAAGGAAACUACUUGGGCUUUUAAAGAAAAGGAAACCUGAAGAGCAAGACGGUGAGCAAGUACAGCAAAGAACUGAGGGUGUGUGUGUACACAUACACAUAAAGCAAAAGUGCAAGAGAUGUGUUACGUUCUCAGUCUCGAGCCUCAAAAAAGUACCUCUAGGUAGAAAAAAAGAAAAAGAAAAAGAAAAAGAAAGGCACCGAAGCCCCUCUCCACUGGAUUGAAGUGAAAGGCACAAAGCAAAGGGGAUGAUCAGAGCGUUCCCAGGAUGCAAUGCAACUUCCUCCAGGCGCCAAGGGGAAGGGCCCCUCUUAACCUGGUCCUCUGUGCUCCCUUCUCAGCCUCGAUGGCUCAAAAGGAUGCGGCUGGAAGAUGUGCAGGCCGGGUCACCCUGCCCAGCAGGGAUGCAGCCAGGAAUGAGCCUCCUCUUCUUGUUCUCGCCUCGUUGCCAGUCUUUGGAGCCUUGCUGGGAAGGAGGAAAUCCGGGCCAAAGCUGAGAUGAAAGCGUCUGUAAUCUCAUAAAAGAGCCAGGCGGAUGCUCUGAAAGGCACGGAGGAGCCAACACCUGCCAUUUGCACUUCAAGGCAGGCCGUUGAAACCCACUGAGGCAAGAGGCCCAUCUGCCCUUCCCCCAGGUGCCUGGACUUGGGUGAGAGAUGGCCCGGGAACUAGAGUCUGCUGGCUCUGUGUUCCUUGGGCUGCAGGAAGGGGGAGGAAGACAGCCACCAAAGCCCUGGGCCUGGAAUGCGCCUUUAGGAAGAGCUGGAGAGCUAAAGCACCAUCACCCUCUUUCCUUGCCUGCAAAACAUUAUUUAUCACUUUCUUUGGUCUUCAGACCACUGUGCGGUGGGGAAGAGUUCCCAGCACCACAAACAAAUCCUUUCCCAUUGCCAUCACAAAAUAAGACUCCACCAGAAAUGAGCAAAGAACAAGUCUGUUGCAAAUGAGACACGCAACAUGGAGCCUUUUCUGCUUUUUCUUGCUCUCCUGAGAAAUUUCACAAUGCUGCUAGAACCCAAAGCCUGGAUGUGGUCCUAUUAAUCACCCAUAACUGAAGGAGGAAAUGUUUUCUUGCAGCGUGAAGCCAAGGAAUCAAAAGCAGAAAGAGAUGAACGAUUUUCCACAUGAAAUCCCCAAAGGAUCAGGACAGGACCUCUAACAAAUUUCUUACUAUUUAUUUACUAUUUCCCAUAAAUGAUCUAGAAGAGGUACUCAGAGAGAUCUCCCAGUUUAAAGGGAACACACUGUCCAUUGGGGUUGUGAGACACCAAGAUGGUGGGAGAGUCCACAGGCAGCAGAGUUAAGUGGGAGGGAGCAGCUGCAGGAUGGGAUAAAGGGACAUCCACUCUUAUAGCAUGACAGGGCCAUGUUCAUAAGAUCUCAGGCCCUUCUAUCCAUUCUAACUCUGGGAAGGCAUCCACAUGGUAAAGGCCUUUGAAGGGGCAUCAGGAGCCUCAGAUACUCCUUCUAGUGUUGUCACUCACAGCUGUAUGGCCCCUUCCUGCUCUGGGUCUUCACUGCAUUACCUGUAAAGCUCAGGGAUUGGAUGGGAUGAUCUCUCAGGUCCCUCAGCUCCAGCCCCCUAGAACUCCAAGAUGAUAACAGCUAUCCCAAGAAAGGAGAGUGCACCAUUGCUGCUGAAAGUCACCAGGAGGGGUGGAGGGCCACAGCAUGCCUUGUAAUGGCUGUAGGAACUAGACGUAACAGAUGCAGCCUAGACUGAGGUUUGGUGAUGGCAAAGAAGGAAGGCAAGAUGCUCCCAUUUGGGAAUAACAUUAAAAUAUUGAAUGCAGCAGGAACAAUCUUAAAGAGUGAGACAUGCCACCCCAAGCAGUUUAAACCUCUAGGAACGACUCAAUUACAGAUACAGACCCUGAACAUCAGAAAAGUCCAAGAAGGAGAUGAAAAAGCUCAGAUAACAAAGUAAUAAAGAGAAAAGCACGUUUCCAGGAACUGAUGGAAGUGUCUGAAUGAGCGCAUGAGAUUUAUUAGCAAAUAGAAGUCCACUGUUGAAUAAAGAAAGAAAAUUGGUUGCGAGUUUUAAUUAGUUUGGGUUUUGAUAAGUGGCGAAUCUGGGAAGUGGUAAAAUGCCAAGUGAUGGGCCUGAAGGGGCAGGUCUUGGGAACCAGGGACAGGGCGAGCAUUUUGUUCUGGCAGCACCGGGUAAUGAGAUUGAAACUAGGCCAGGGCUGAAAUGGGGCCUGGAGGCGUGGCUGAGAAAUAACCGAAAGGGCCCUUGUGCUUUGUCAGUCGAAGGCAAAUGCCAUCUGCUCUGGCUCCUGCCCACUGUGCCCCUUUCUCCCCCCACUUCACCAUUUGUGGUUACGGUGACCUGGGCUUAUGGGACUCAAGUGCCUUCAGUGCUUCUCUGUCCCUUCUGGCUUAGUACACAUGGCCAUCUCCACUCAGGCUGCCUGGCAGAGCAUGGGCUGCCAGGAUCAGGCAGCAGGAUGAGAGCAGCUGCUCCCUAGCAUAGCUUGCUGGCUUGCCUGCUUCCUUCUACAGACUUCUCUGAGCACCUCCCCAGUGCCAAGGACUGUGCUAGGUACUUGGAAUAUGACGACAGGCGAUCUUUUCUCUUGGGGUUCCAGGAGGAGGGAGGUAGAUAAAAACUCAGACAGAGAUGAGACAAUGGCUUAAGUUCUGUGAACAAAGGGAGUGGAAAAUUACUAGAGAAGAGAGCAUAUAGAGUCUAUGGGGGUGGAGAUCAGAAAAGGCUUGCCCCAGGAGCUAGCUGCUCUCAUGAAGGCCAUUGUUAUAGGAUGGAUUCACCCAUGACUUGGUGGCUUGGGCUAUGGGUACACAUCCCCCUCUCUAUCAACAAUUGAUGGUGUCAUAACCCUUCCUUUGUCAUAAGAGAGGACCAAGUAAGGGGGUCACUGGCUCAGGAAAGAGCCAUAAGUAACGUGAAACAUGUGCUCUGUGGUCAAGGAGGGUGUCAUAUUUAAACUCCAUUGCUGAUGGUGCCCAAACUUCUAAAUGAGCCCCUGAAUCCCCUGAGUUUAGGGUUGCUCAAGACAGAAGGCCUCAGCCUUUGUUCUUUGCCUGUCCCUGUCAUGAGGAGCAACACAAAUGCUGGAGAACUUCCCUACUGCCCCAUUCCACAGGCCUCAGAGGGAGAGUCCCACCUGCCAAUAAGUUUACCAGGCUCGACUAAGGCCAUGGCAUGUGAUCAUGGCUUCUUUCCUUCCAAACAUGGCUAGGUUCAAGGUUGGCAGGCUCCUUGGAAGAAAUUAUUUUUAGGGGCAUGGAAGCUGCUGAGGAGUAGAGUGGUUAGGCUUUGGAGUAGGGUAAAAUUGAGUUGAAAUCUGGGUUCCUACCAUGCGAAAACCUGUACAUAAGUGUUCAUAGCAGCACUAUUUAUGAUAGUCGAAAAGUGGAAAUGUUCAUUAACAGAUGCAUGGCUAAACUAAAUGUGGUCUUACCCAUACAAUGGAAUCUUCUUUGGCAUCAAAAAAGAAUGAAGUAUUGAUGAUACAUGCUUACAACAUGUAUAAACCUUAAAACCACUACGCUAAGUGAAAUAAGCCAGUCAUGAAAGACCACUUAUUCUAUGAUUCCCUUCAUAUGAAGUCUAUAGAGGCAGAAAUAGAUGAGUGGUCGCCUAGAGCUGACUGGAGGCAGGGCAGUUUGGAGGGAACAAACUAGUAACUGCCAAUGGGUAUAGGGUUUCUUUUUGGGGUGAUAAGAAUGUUCUAAAAUUAUGGUGAUGGUCGCAUGACUCUGAAUAUAUUAAAAACCACUGAACGGUAAACCUUCAAUGGAUGAAUUAUAUGGUAUGUGAAUUAUGCCCCAAUAAAGCUGUUUUUCUUUUUCUUAAAUCUAAAUUCCUACCUCUUCUUGGUUGCUCCUAGGGUUACCACAGCAAAGAACCCUUUGCUUUGCCCCUCAGUGUAUUCUGAGUACCUGGGACAUAGUAGGUGCUUAAGUAUUUGCUAACAAAUCAGUAUGUGGCCUUGAGAAAGCCACUUAGGUUCUUUAAGCCUCAGUUUUAGCAUCUGUAAAAUGGAGAUUAAAAUGCCUUCUGCAAAGGGCUGCUGAUUAGGAGACCAGGCAUUUAAGGUGCUCGGCAGGGUCUCAGAAUAUAAGUGCUGUCUAAAGGGCAGUUUUCUGGAUGUGUGGCUCAGUGCCAUAGACGAGGCUUCUGAAGGAGGAUCUGUGCUACUAGGGGUUCUGUUCCUUAGUCACCCACCUCCCACCUCCCACCUCCUAUUACAUGUCCAUCUUGGAGGGAAUGGCCAAGGCGUCACAUAGAGCAGCCUACAUGAUGCCAUUGGUGGGGCUGUGAGGAGCUGCUUUGAAAGGCCAUGCUCGUGCUGCCCAGAGCACCCAGUGCCCAGGCCAGCCUGUGGCUGGUGGACAUGACAGAUGGUAUUUUCUUUUUGUCUGGAGAGGCAUUGAAAAGGCUCUCCCAGGCCGUUUCUGCCACUGCCCUUCAGGGUUGACUCUCUCUCUGAGUCUGUGCUAUGUGUUAGCAGCAACACACUGGAAAAGCAUGACAUUGGCAAAACAUCCAGUGGGGUAAGGGUCAAGGUUAUGACCACUGGAAGCCCCGCCACCAUCUUCAUGAACCCAGUUUGCAAAAAUGUGGGGAAAGUCUUUCAGGCCACCAGAAACUUAGAACCCUGAGUGCCUGUCUCUUUCUCCUUUUCUUAUCUGGGCCCCCAGAGCCUUAGCCAGGGAUUCCAGGGGGCAGCUGCUCAAGCGCGUGUGUCCCCUCCAGGCCUCAGAGCCUUAGGGGAGCCAUUCCCCGCCUCUAAAAGGUGGCUCACUCCCACCCUCCAGCCCACCCCAAAGCUUACCUGCAACCCCUCUCAUCUCUCAGGAGUCAGCUGAAAUGUACCAUCUUCAUGGAAGCCUGCUCUGAUCAUUCCAGAUGAGGGUAAGUCCCACCACAUAGGCUCGUAGCUCUGUGUGUUUUUCCUGCCAUGGUCUAUUUAUGAUUAUUUGCUUAGGCCUGUCUCCCCCACUAUCCUGUGAGUGCUAUGAGGAUGAAACCUCGGUCCUUCUUGUACACUGCUGUGUCCCCAGGGCUCAGCACAUAGCUUGGCACAGAGGAGACCCUCAAUAAACAUUUGUUUAGGAAAAUAGUCCCACUAAUAUUUCUUUGUCUCUUCCCUUUAUGCUUCCACUCUGGCUGGUGGCAGCUCUUCCCUUCCCAUGAAACCAGGGUCUCUGUGCCUCUCUUUGUAGAGCAGUCUCCCCUCCUGCCCCGGCCCCAGGUGGAAAGUAGAGGGGAGGAGAGAAGGGGAAGCAGGGGGCAGGCACACUUGAUGAUGGGGGAAGAGGGUGUGAAGGCCUCUGCAGGACAGGGAGGGGCUGAGAAGACAGGAGGCUGCCUGCUGGCCCCACGCAACUCCACCCACUUCACUUUCACUCCCACCCCCACCCUCAUCUUGGCAAAGCCCCCUUCCACCCCCGGGAACCACCAGGGAAGACGAACAGCUAUAAAGUGGCAGAGAUCCUACCAGUGGCCCAACAGGACUACGGGGCUGCCCUGCUGGUUUUCAGAGGUUUCUGAGACCCACAGUGAGAAGUAUGUUUUAUGAGGCCAUCCUGCGUGUGUGUAGACCGAUGUACAAACCCCCAAGUGGACAAAGUCAUACUUGCUUUCACUAUGCAGGGUGUAUUACAACACCUCCUAUUGUUUUCUAUUCCAGUUUGAAACCACUUCUUGUCAUGACUUAUAACAGGAACAUGUAGCCGAUACAGUGGGCAGGAGUGAUGUUCUGGAAGGGGCCCCAUGCCUGGGGUUUAAUGCUUUGUGGUCACCAUCUUGAAAUUCUUAAUCGUUUUUUGUUUGAAUUUGUGCUUCGUAAGUGAGGUCUUGACGGGAUGCAUGGCCCCACUUCCUGGGUUCUGGGCCACUGAUCCCAUUCCCUUGCCCCUGGUUAGUGUCAGUGGCUGUAUUCCUCACCCCCCACCCCCCACCCCCCAGCAGGGGCCUGCACACUGGCUGGGGAAGGGUCUCGAUUGGGCAAGCCUCCAGGGUGAGGGUUGGUCCGUACUGCCCCACCAGUAACCCCGUGCCUGAGGGAGUAUGACAUUAAAGUACGCAUAAAAAAUGCCACAACAAGCUGAGAGACUGCCAAAGAAAGGAAGAAGCCUUUUGCCUGCCUUUUGAACAGGGGUCCUGCAUCUUCAUUUUGCACUGAGCCCCACACAUCAUGCAGCCAGCCCUGCCUGCUAAACCGAUUUCACAACUCACGGAUACAUCAUGACUGGCAGUUUGAGAAACACUGCAUUAGCCAGCAGGAUGUUGCAGCUGACAAAAAUGCAAACCUCCAUCAGGUGAACUUAAGCUUCCAUCACAAUUCUACAAUGAAUUGGCUGUGUUUUGGGGCAUGUCACUGAACUCUCAAGUCCUGUGUCCUCAUCUGCAAAACCAAGAUAAUGCCGAGACCUACUUUUAGAGUCAUAGUGGGGACUGAAUAAGGUAAUGCGAUGUGCCCGGGGCAGUGCCCUGAAUCUAAGAAAGUCAUUAUGAUUAUUACUAGGUCCCUCUAGUCUUUUGUCCAGCUCUGAUUUUUUUUUUUUCCCUACUUUGAUUUCUCGGAGGAAGAGAUUCCUGAGCUGGGCUCUGAGAAGCAAGCAGAGGUUUACUGGGUGGACAAGAGAGGGAAGGAGGAUGUCUGAGUAGACAGAACAGCAGAGGCUCAGGGGCAUGGUGUGUUUAAGGGAAGUGAGAGCAAAUCUUUUCUGAGAGGCUGCCCUUCCAGUGAGAGGUAAGCUGGUGGGAGGGGCAACUGGGCAACCUGGGCUCCUGGGGCAGCCAAUGAAGGCAGGGUUUUAGGCGGGCAAGAAGCAUGGGGAGACCCCUGCCUUCCAGGAUUGCCCUGGCUGCAGGCUGCAAGAUGGAUGGGAGGGAGUGAAGCCCAAGACUUCCGGAAGAGGCCAGGUGUGAGAUGCAGCCCACAGGACAGCAGCAGUGGGGAUGGAGUGCAGAAGAUCAGGAUCACUCCGGAGGCUGGAGUGAAUGUGGAAGCCAGUGUGAAUACCACGCCCUGGCACCUCCCAGGUUUCUGCUUGAGUGAGAGAGAAUCAGGAGGAACAGGUUGUGGGGGGGAGAGGAGGAGGAGGGGAUUAUCUGUCCAGCCCCAAGGCGAGUGAAUAAGAGUGUUGGGUGUUUUGUCUAUUUUUAGGAACCUCCAGGGAUGCAAACUCUAAAAAUUAAAGAGCAACGAGUAUUCACAAAGUUGUCCCCUAACGCCUGCCCCACUUUUUUUUUUUUUUCUUUUUGAGACAGAUUCUUGCUCUGUCACCCAGGCUGGAGUGCAGUGGCACGAUCUUUAUUCACUGCAACCUCCACCUCCUGGGUUCAAGCCAUUCUCCUGCCUCAGCCUCCUUAGUAGCUGGGACUACAGGCAUGCACCACCAUGCCUGGCUAAUUUUUUGUAUUUUUAGUAGAGACGGGGGUUUCACCCUGUGGGCCAAGCUGGUCUUGAACUCCUGACCUCAAGUGAUCCACCCACCUCGAUCUCCCAAACUGCUGGGAUUACAGGCAUGAGCCAACGCGCCUGGCCCACUUUUUAAAACCAAAGCUAACUCUUCUUAGCUACUACACCCAAAUCAGAUGAUCUUUAUUUAAGCCACCAUGUGUUUGAGUUCUAACCUCCAUUGUCUCAGUGCCUCACCACAGAUUUCUGGAACCUGGUAGAAGUUCUAAAUUAUAGAACAAGUUAGAACUAACUGGUGGUGAUGGAAGGGAGGAAAUCACAAGGGAAACUUGAAAAGGUAAUGUAUCCACCAGCCCCUGGGGCAGGGCAAGUUUCCAGCUGCCCAUGGAGCUCAGGUAGCCUGGGAAGUGUGCUCAGAGCCGAAGCCAACAUCUACUUUUGAAAAAGAACCACCUUCUUUUUUGGAAGGUGCAAGCAAGUCUUCCCUUUGCCUUCUCACUUCAUCAUUCUUACCCUAGCCACAGUCGUUCACUGGCAAGUGUUUUUUCAGUACGCUGAAAAAUUAAUUGUGGAGCCUGUCUCUGAUGCCUGGAUGCUGAGUGGGCAUGAGAAAGAUAUUUGUUACAGUUUCAGGUCAAACUAAAGGGGAGACAGUGAUAACAAGGGUUUUCUAUGCUAUGGAAACAAGGACCACUAUAGGCUCGGAUGAGGUUAAGCAACUUGAUGAUCAACCACCACCGUGGUCCAUGUAAAACAAGGACUUUAGGCCAGGCACAGUGGCUCAUGCCUGUAAUCCCAGCAUUUUGGGAGGCCGAGGUGGGUGGAACAUCUGAGGUCAGGAGUUCCAGACCAGCCUGGCCAACAUGGUGAAACCCCGUCUCUACUAAAAAUAAAAAAUAAAAAACAAAUUGGCCAGGCAUGGUGGCACACGCCUGUAAUCCCAGCUACUUGUAAGGCUGAGGCAGGAGAAUCUCUUGAACUCGGGAGGCGGAGGUUGCAGUGAGCUGAGAUCACACAUUGCACUCCAGUUUGGGCAACAAGAACGAAACUCCAUUUCAAAACAAACAAACAAACAAACCAAGGACUUUACAGUUGACACAAUGCUCCAACUCUCACCCUUCCAUUUGUGCUCACAACAGCCUUGUGAGAUUUUGGGUUGGGCGGGGCGAGGAUUGUCAUUCCAAUUUCAUCCACGGAGAACACACAGCCCUGUGAACUGACUUAGAGGCACAGGGCAAGGAUGUACGCAGGUCUUCUGUCUUUUGCUGGUUACCCUCUCAUUAUAUUAUGUUAUCCAAGGCAAACCUCUAAACUGUCUGGAGAUCACAUAUUUGGAAAAUGCAGCAAUAGGCAUUGGAAUCAGUUCAGUUCAGAUUAACAAAAAAACCCCUACUGUAGUGCCUAACAUGAACCUGGUGCUGGGCUGGGAGUGGCCUAAAGACACUAAUAUCACUACCACUUCUGAGAGAUCCAGGUACUUGGUGCAUCUUUGAUCUCAUUUAAUCCUCACAAUGCUCUGAUGAGGCAGUGUCAUUAGCCAUUUUAUAGAUGGGAAAACAUCCUCUGACCUAACUCAGGAGCUCUGGACAUUCAAACAGAGGCUAGGGCAGCACUGACUUCAUGCUGAUUGGGCACUUUGGAAGCAGCUUUACCAGUUUCAUUUGUCCAAUACCUCUGGGAGGUUUCUCAUUUUGAAUGUGAAGGGAAAAUAUUUUGGGCCCCCCAAAUCACUAAGGAAAACUCAAGCUGGAAACUGCUUAGGGCAAACCUGCCUCCCAUUCUAUUCAAAGUCACCCCUCCGCUCACUGAGAUAGAUGCAUAUCUGAUUGCCUCCUUUGGAAAGGCUAAUCAGAGACUCAAAAGGAUGUAACCAUUUGUGUCUCACCUAUCUGUGGCCUGGAUGCUCCCUCCCGCUUGGAGUCUUCCUGCCCUUGCUUCAAGAUGUCCCGCCUUUCUAGACCGAACCAAUGUACUUCUUACAUAUGCUGAUUGAUGUCUCAUGUCUCCCUAAAAUGUAUAAAAUCAAGCUGUGCCCCAACCACCUUAGGCACAUGUCAUCAGGACUUCCUGAGGCUGUCAAAAGGUUGAGGAAAGUUUUGCCUCAACCUUGGCAAAAUUAACUUUCUAAAUUAACAGAACUCAGAUUUUCUAGGUUCACAUGAGGAAACUAAGGCUCAGGUGGGUUUAUGCAACUUGAUGAUUGACCACUGCGAUCGAAUAGGCCUUUCUGCUCUGUCACCUUUAAGUCGAAACCACUUAAAUUUUUUAAUUUCACAAGCUGCAUAUGACUUUUAUGAAAAUUAUAGCCGAGUAUGGCGGCUCAUGCCUGUAAUCCCAGCACUUUGGGAGGCUGAGGUGGGCAGAUCACUUGAGGUGAGGAGUUCAAGACCAGCCUGGCCAACAUGGUGAAACCCUGUCUCUACUAAAAAUACAAAAAUUACCCGGGCGUGGUGGUGUGCGCCUGUAAUCCCAGCUACUCAGGAGGCUGAGGCAGUAGAAUCACUUAAACCCUGGAGGAGGAAGUUGCAGUGAGCUGAGAUAGCCCUACUGUACUCCAGCCUGGGUGACAGAGCAAGACUCUGUCUCAAAAAAAAAAAAAAAAAAAAAAGGAAAUUAUGUGAUACAGAAGUGUUUAAAGUAAAAGUAUCUCCCAUCUCUGCUUCUCUAUUUCCAAUCCCCAGAAGUAACUGCUUUUAACAGUUUAAUGUAUAAGCUUUUCCCAUGCAUAAACACACCUACAUAUGCAGUUUAUUUUUCACAAAGGGAUGGCACUAGAUGCAUUAUUCAUGACUUGCUUUAUUCACUCAACCAUGUGUCGCAGCUACGAUUCCCCAUCAACACAUACAGAGUUGCUUAUCCUCUUGAACAGAUUUCAUUGUCUCAAUGUAGCAUAAGCCAUUCCCCUACUGAUGGACUCACAGGUUAUCUCCGAUUUCUCAUAGAUUCGUACCAAAUGUCAUUUUAAAUGUAAUAGAUCCUUGAGAUGUAAACUCUCAUAAACAUCAGCUAUUACUUUUAGCCUUAUUUUAUAGUUUUGUUUAAUUGACAGCCUCAAUUCAAUUUCUAUAGCAAAUAUUCAUUUCAAAAAAAUAGCUAUUAGAGUUAAGUAUGUCUCAAUCUUUGACCAUUAUGAAAACAAAUUAUUUUCCAUAGUUUGGGGUUUAUAAUAAUUGCUUAAUCCAAUAUUGAAAUUGGGUUUAGAUAGGUACUUUUGAACUGAUUGAUAUUACUUUUCCACAUUUUCUAACUCAUUCCCUAAUUGAGGCUCUGUUCUUGCAGGAAACUACAUGGCAUAAAGUAAAUAAAACUAUCUAAGAGAAGCUGUGCAAAUGUAGCUUGAUAUAAAAAAGGGAGGAAGCUGGGUGGCCUAGCAUUUCUGUUCUAGCUCAAAUGAUUUUAUUCUAUUAGGUUAGUGCAAAAGCAAUCGCAGUUUUUGCCUUACUUUCAAUGGCAAAAAUACAAUCAUGUUUGCGCCAACCCAAUACUAAUUCAAAGGACAAGAAUUCUAGUGUAUCAUCUACAUAUUGUAUUCUCUCAUUACAUCCCUAAGCCACUUUUCUGUCAUGGGCAUGACCAAGUCAUUCCUCUCUUCCUUCUCAUAGGCUUCUUGAGACUCAGACUGUUUUCCUUUUUCAAAAUUCUCAUCCUCUGCUUUUGUUUUGGCAACAGAAUAGGAAACAGCCUCAUAUUCUUCUUUCCUUCCUGAUGUUCUAAGAAUCCUUCUAUCAUUUCCUUUCUGUUUAGAGAAUUUUCUUAGCCAUUGUUUUAUAGCAGAGCUGUUGGCUAAAAAUCCUCUUAGCUUUGCUUCAUCUGAUAAUGUCUUGACUACCCCUUCAUUCCUGAAAUAUAGUUUUUGAUGGAUAUAGGAUUCUGGGUUGACAGUUUUUAAAAAAAAUGUUGUGCCAUUUCCUUCUGGCCUUCAUGGUUUCUGAUUAGAAAUCUGGUGCUGUGCAUACUGCAUUUCUCAUUAGUGGCUGUUUCUGUCUCAGUGAUUUUAAAGGCUGUCUUUGGUUUUCAAACAUUUGAGUAUGAUGUGUCUUAUUGUAAAUUUAUUUGGAUUCAUCCUGUAUGGGGUUCACCCAGCUUCUUGAAUCUGUAGGUUUAUGGCAAAUUUGGAAAGUUUUAAGCCAUUAUUUCUUCGAGUGGUUCUUGUUUUUCCAGUCUAUUUUCUCUCUGUUGUUCAGACUGGGUUAUUUCUAAUAUUCUAUCUUGAAGUUCACUGAUUCUUUCCUCUGGCCCACUGGCUCUGAUGUUGAGGUCAUCCAGUGAGUUUUUAAUUUCAGUUACUGUAUUUUUCAAUUCUAAAAUUUCCAUAUGGUUAUGUCGUUUAUUUGCUGAGAAUUUCUAUUUUUUAUUGUUUGAAGCAUGUUUAUAUUUGCUUAUUGAAACAUUUUUAUGAUGGCUGCUUUAUAAUCUGUAAAAUUUUAACUUCUGUAGCAUCUCAGUUUUAUCAUCUAUUGUCUUUAAUCGUUCAUUUUGAGAUCUUCCUUGUUCUUGGUAUGAGUGAUUUUGAAAACUGAAACCUGGUUAUAAGAUUUUGGAUCUUAUCUAAACUUUCUGUUUUAGCUAGCUUUCUCUGACACUGCUCCAACAUGGGUAGGGGGUUUAUGCCACCUCAUUAUUACUAAGUAGGGGUCCAGGUUCUCCAUUUGGCCUUGACACUUGAGGGGGAGCCUUCUCAUUACUGUGCAGUGAUGGGAGUUCCAGCUCCUGACAAGGCCUCCAUUGAUACCUCUCUCUGACUGGGAGGAGUCAGGAGUGUCUUGCUACGGCUCCCACACGAUCUUAACUGACACUAAGGGAGUGGAUAAGGCCAGGUUACCAUUUCGUGGGGUCAUGAAAGUCUACUCCCCACUUGGCCUUCUCUGACACCACCCUGCUGUAAAGAAGGGGGAGACUGGGGAGGCUUGCUAUAACGUGGUGAGGGUGGAAUUCUAGGCUCUGCAUUUGGCUUUUGCUGGUGGAGCAGGGGCUGGACCACAGUUUUUUCUGUGACCUUUGGCUACAGCAGAGCAGUUACUGUCUAAAAGUUUUUGGCUUUGCCAGGCUGCCCCUUUCCUGAUUCUUUGGCUAGAGACAGCAGACUUUUUUGGGGGGGCUUUUGUUGGGAGGGUUCUGGGCCCCUUAGCAUUUGUGGUUGAUGGCCUCUUCAGCUCUAAGUCUAGGAUAUAUAAGGCAAAACGAACCAAGCCAAACAAAGAAAAGAAACAAAAACCCAGAGAACUCACCACCACGUCAUUCCUGGGGCUAUGAGGUCCCUAGUUAGUCUGCCUUCUUCCUUCCACUUUUCAGGGUCUUAUGCUUGUUUUAUAAAUAAUGCCCAAGGUUUUUAGUUGUACUCAGUGGGAGAAAUAGAGAAAAUGUGUUUACUCCAUUUUCUUGGAAGUGGUGGUUCAUCAAUAUUAGCAAUAUUCAUUCCCCUCUCUUUCCAGUCCUACUGAAGCCCCAUUUCUAACCAUUCCCAUUUUCUCUCUAUCCCUGUAUACAUCUAUCUACCUGCCCCGUGUCAACACCAGUUUCAUCUUUCUAGUCUUGGAGGAAAGCCAACAUCAGGAGAUACCAGAACAACACGCCACUCCCCUUUCAAAGUCUUUUAUGAAUCUACACUGUCUGUAGACCAAAGCCCAAACUUGUUAGCCUAGCAAUGGACACUUCAGAGUUCUAGCCUCUGUGUUCUUUUCACCCAGAGGUCCCUUUCAUUUGUAGGCAGAUGCUUAUUUUCUGCCUGACAUGUCUGCUCCCCGCUCACUCCAUCCCUGCACACAAGACCCAUUUCUCAAUGCCCACGUUCUCCAAUAAUACCUUCCAGCUGAAAUGGACACCCAGUUCAGGAUUUGGUCCUUUUACUGGUAAUUACUGAAGGUCAGUUAGAUUUAUUUUAAACUCAUUAAAGGACUGGGUCAUGCUUGAUACUUCUUUGUCUCACAGCAUACAGGAGCACCUGAUAAAUACUCUUUUGGAAAGAAUAACUAAAGGCCCCUGCCUGUCAGUGUGAAUCUCUUGGCAGAACUCUGAGAAUUAAACAGAAAUCCAGUGCCAAGAAGAUAAGAUUAGCUAUGGGCAAAGUUAUCUUAAACACCAGUAAGAAAGAAGCAGGAGAGUAGGCAGAAUUUGGAGAAUCUAAUCAAAGUUAUAAAUAUAUCUAAAAAAGGAAUAAGUUUAGAAGAGGACUAGGAGAAGCAGUCACCCAGCUAGGAGGAGUGUCCUGACUUGGGGAAAGGCCCAUGGGUCCUAGAGAUGGAAAGAGCCCCACUCUGGUAAUGGAUGCCCAGUUUGAGGCCCUGUGCACAUGAGUCUCACCAGCUCCCGAGUGGAUUCUGUGCUCACCCAGGAGGCCUUGGGAAUCCAGCUUCCCAUUACCAUCUCUGUACAGUUAGGGAACUGACCCAAAGAUGCAACUGUUUGGGCUCAUGGCAGACUUGUUUUUCAUUUCAAAUAGACAGGCCUCUGGUAUGAGUUUGGUUGGUUGGCAUAAAGCUAUUUACAAUAGCAAUAACAAUAAUUAAACAUUAUUCAGUACUAUGUAUCAGACUGGGCUAGGCAUUUCCUAGAUCAUCUCAUUUUAUCAUCCUAUGGGGUAAAUACUAUGAUCAUCCCAUCUCAUGGAUGAAGGACUUGAAGCUCAAAGAGAUUACAUUGCUUACCCAAGCUCAGAAGAGGCAGAGCUGGGAUUUGAACCCAAGUCUCCUGACUCAAGGUCUGAUUUUCAGCACUGGACUUUGUAAGAUAGCCCUUUCUAUGUGCCAGUCAUUGUCCUCAGGUCCUUAUGUAUAUAAAUUUGUACAACUCUCCAAGCAACUCCUUGAGGUAGGUACUAUUUCCAUCCCCAAUGUACAGCUGAGGAAACAGGCACAGAGAGGUCAUGCAACUUGCUCAAAGUCACACAGCUGUUUUUGAACCCAGGAUUUGAACCCAGGCAAUGUCACUAAAAACCAUUAUGUCAUGCUGUCUCUUUUGGGGCACUUGCCUGACUUUUUCUAAUAGAUCUCAGCCUCUUGAGGGAGAAGACUCAAUCUUACUCAUUUUUGUAUCCUCAACAGCUUCUGCAGUACCUAGCACAGAGUAAGGCUGUAAUACAUGUUGGUUCAGUUGAAUGGUCCCCUAGGAGGAGGACCCAUUAGCCACCUGAUCUGUUCCAGUUACUUUCCGAUUCCAUGAAGACAAAUGUGCAAGCUCAUCUAAAGUAGGUUUAUGCUAGGCUGCAGGCUACUUAUUCUGUUUUACUAACUUCAUAAAACAUUCUUUUUUUUUUUCACGUAGCAUAGGACUGGGGCUUCUGAAAAAAAGGCAGAAUACAAAUUCAAGGGCUACAGUGCUAUGAAUAAUUUCUACUGGAGCAUAUUUUUCACAUCUGGAGACUUGAGUUUUCAAAGUUAAUCCAGCUUAGCCUAGUGGUUCUCAAUGUUGGGUGAUUUUUUUUCCCCCUUACAAGGGAUAUUUGGCAAUGUCUGGAGAUAUUUUUGAUUGUCACAAGAUGGGGGUUGGGAUAUGAGUGCUACUAGUAUCUAGGAGGUGGAGGCCAGGGACACUUCUAAACAUUGUACAAUGCAAGGAUAAUCUAUCAUGACAAAGAACUAACCGGCCCCAAAUGUCAGUAAUGUUGAGGCUGAGAGAUCUGGAUUGGCCAAGCAGCCCCCAGAUCUGCACGUACAAGUGGUUUUAAAGAGGAAGCAUUGCCCAACAAUUAAAUUAGGUUUUAUGAGAUUUGAUUCCCAGAGAACAAAGAUCACCAGGGGAAAAAUGAAAGUGAGCAUUCCAUGCCAAAGAACCAUCUUAGUUUGGGAGCACAUUCUGAAACAGUGCUUUGAGAAGUAAGGUCUUAGAACCUCCUCCUAGAAACCCAGCUUGGGAGCUUAUUAAAAUGCAGAUUUCUGGGCCUCACCUCAAAACCACUGAAGCAGAUUCUCUUGGGGAGAGUAGGAGGGAUCUGCAUUUUUAGGACACCCCCAGGUGAUCCAGAUGCACAAUGACAUUUUCUUCCAGAAGCAGGGGAGGUAGGUUGGGUAGUGGUAGACAGACCAUAUGCAUAGUGGUUUUUAAAAAGUUAACUAAAAAUUCUCACAUUCUAGCAUGAUUUCUUCAACUUCCAUCAUUUAUACAGCACCAUUAUGAGUUGCGCUCUAGACAAAUACCACGUGUAUUACUCUUUGCUUAAUAAUUUAAAAAAAUCAAAUCACUUUGUAAAUUCUAACGUAUUUCUAAGCAACAAUACCCAAUAAAUCAUAGUUGUAUUUAUUGGGUAUCAGCUAAUUAUAUUUUUUCUUCAUACUCCUGAGAAUAUAUUACCAUGAGAAUAAAAAGUAUCUGCCCACGCCACACAAAAUUGAUAUGCAACACAUGGGAAGCAGGAUAUUAUGGCAAAGCAACUGCAGUGUGCCAGGAGAGUGCUACUAAUGGUAAGUGCAAGCUCUGUAAGGCAGACAUACAUGGCUUUGCAUUUGAAUCUCACAGCUUCUUGUUCAGGAAUGGAUGGCAAUCCUGCUGCUUCCUGGAGGAGGAAUAAUAUAGUUAGCAAAUGCUCACAUGCUUGAGCAUACUCAGUGGUACUAUGUGACCUCAUUGACAGCCCCACCAACUCCCAUUUAUGAACUUUGGAAAACAACCAUCUUAAAUCUAGCACCAGGACAAAAUUAAGGGCCAACGUAUAUUGAAUGUCACUGAGCCUCAGAUAUCAGAACCCACGUGUGAGGAGCAGAAGUCACUGCAACUAGAAACUGGUUUCCAUUUGCCAUGGUUUAGAUAUUUGACCCCUCCAAACCUCAUGUUGAAAUCUGAUCCCUGGGGUUGGAGGAGGGGCCUAGGGGGAGGUGUUUGGGUCAUGGGGUCAGAUCUUUCAUAAAUAGAUUAAUGUCCUCCCUCGUGGGCGAGUCUCACUCUAUUAAUUCUCAAAAAGCUGGUUGUUAAACAGAACCUGGCAUCUCCCUGACUCUCUUGCUUUCUCCCUCACCAUGUGAUCUCUGCCCACAACAUGAGUCUUCCCUUGGCCUUCACCAUGAGUGUAAGUAGCCUGAGGUCCACACCAGAAGCAGAUGCUGGCACCACGCUUCUUGUACAGCCUGCAGAACUAGUUGAAUAUGUACCUAUUAAGUGGUUGUCAGAUCCUUUUCUGAAAAUGGAUAGUUAAUGAUACCACCACUAUCAGGAUGAACAGCAAUUUCCCACUGAUGAAUCGCACCACCACCACCUCUACCACCAUCAUCACCGUCAACUUUCCCUGAGGCUUUUCUACUCUUUCCUCAUCCCCAAUUUCUUUCCGGUGAUUUAACAAAAUGACAAGAGCUUUGGAACAAAGAAGACCCCACUCAAUAACUUCAUAGCUGUGUGACCCUGGGCAAGUCACUUCACCUCUAUGAGGUUAAGUUUCCUCAUCUGUUAGAUGGGUUUUUUGUAAAAACUACAAGGCACCUAGGCAAGGAUUGUCACAUGUGUGGAGAUCUGAAUAAAUGGUGGCUUAUUUUCACGGUGUGGACAAAUCAGUCAGCAUACCUUGCUGAUUUCCAUUUUAAUGUCCUGAAGUGUUUCAUUCACUCGAAUGGAGCGGACCACCAUGAUUUCUCUUCAUGAAUUUUGGUUUCCCAGUUGAACAAUACUGCUUGAGGCCUCUAAGCCAAAAAUGUGGGCUUUCAGCGAUCUAGGCCACCACAUCUGGCAAGAAGAACAAAGCUGUCCUGACACGCUGGGUGGGGAUUUGUCCCUGUGUGACCCUCUUAGCCCCACUUCCAACCAUCUGGUUACCCAGAGAGUUGACUGGGCAUGAGGCAAGAGGCAAGAGGCUUUGCCAUGAACCAGCUUAAGGAAAUAGAAACUCUCAUUCUUUUUUUUUUUUUGUCAGGAAAACAUGAAAAAUCACAUCAUAUGUGAGGCAAUACUCUGGGAUGCUAACCUAGUCUUUAGUGUUCCUGUUUCCUUUGAUAAUCUACUUCAGUAAAUGGAAACUAAAUUGCUCCAUUAAAUUUCUAAACACUACAUUAAGAAGAUAAACAGACAAAACAAAAACCUCUCAGUCUGCAAGGGAUAAAUCCAAAACCAAACAGUGGGACACAAUGUUCUCCAGAAACAAUUAGACUUGACUUUCACACCAAAAAAAAUGUAAUCAUCAGUGAUGUCUUAGAAUUGCAGGGUUUUGAAUGAAACUUAAGAAUGAAACUAUGGUGCUCAAAAGCACUAACUCAUGGUGGUUACUGUUAUCCCCCAAAGAUCAUUUCAUUCUGGUAACCCAAUGAGGUAGGUACUAUUUUUCUUUCCAUUUAAUAGGUGACAAAACUGAGGCACAGUGAGGUUAGUAACAUAACUAGCAAGUGUGAGACACCGGAAUUUUAACAUGGUUCAUAGCUACCAUGCUGUUUUGCCUCUCAUGAUCUGGAAGUGACUCCAGUGCUCAGUGCCAGGGGAAGCCCAGGCUCCUAUUUGAGCAGGCUCCCAAGACACCAAGGGUCUAUCAAGUUGCCAAGGAAAAACUCAUUCAGGCUCAGGACAUCAGUUUCUAAAGUGCAUUCCCAUACCCUAGGUAUCUGGAAAUCCAUCAUAACCUUAAGUAUUAAUAGUAUAUUUAUCCCCAUUUCACGGCCACAGGAACUAAGGCUGUUGAAAGUUAAACAACUUUUCUGAGUUUGGACACAUCAUCUACAUUUCUCAUCUAAUUCCCAGACACUGUUCUUUCCCUGAUGACAUAUAUCCAAGUUUAAGCACAACCAAGCAAGGGUUGAGAAAGCUUCAGACAUUUACAAAGCUCCCUUCAUACCUAGUACUGUGCUUAGACCAGGAACACAGGGAGGUAGAGGGCAGCAGAGCAGGGACUGGCUUCAGAGCCAGACAGGUGGCUAUGUGACUUAAUGUGUCUGAACCCUGGUAUCCUAGUCUAUUAAAUGGUAUAACAGCAGCUUCUAGUAUGUAAGUUCCUUGUCAGGAGAAAAACUGUUUUGCUCAUGGCUGGAGCCUUAGCAUGUUGCAUCAUAUUGAACAUGUAAUAGAUGCUCAAUAAAUAUAUUUUUAAGAAUAAAUAAAUGUAAAUGAAAAUUA